AGGAGAGUAUAGAGAUGUAGAGGCUUAGCUCAGUUGAAGCAAAACUUCAAUGUGAAGUUUUGCUCAACAAUGGAGGAUAUUGAGAUUUGAGUGUGUUGGUGAGAUAAGAGGAGAAAGUGAAACUGUAGAGUGAUGAUGAUAUGAGAGUGAAUGUGACUGUUUUCCUUGAUUGAAGAUGAAUUGUUGUUUAUAUAGUGGGAUUCGAAAUUGAAAUGGAGGGAAGUUCAUAACUAUUUUGGUCAGUUGUUAAAUUCAGUUAAUGUUAGCUUGCAAGUUAGUUAGGGUUAGCUAACAAUGUUAGUUGAUGUUAAUUGAGUUAGUUGUUUUUGAAUUAGUCAGUUUGGAAGUUAAGCUCGAGUUAGUUUAUGUGUUAGACUUCAACUGAACUGUUAGAUGGUGUUAGGAAAAAUCAGUUAGGUUAAUGUUCAUCAGAAGUUAGUAUUUUGAAUUGUUAAUGAAAAUUAGGUGGUUAGUUAAUGGUUUGAACAAUUUUGUUAGUUUUGGGAUUGGUUAGUUUAGUUAGUUGAUCAAUUAAUGACUAGUUGAUGUUUAAAUAUGUUGGUUAGAUCAUUGGAAUUAUUAUGUUAGUUGGUUAGAAUGUUGAACUGUGAUAUUGAUCAAGUCAGUUUAGAGAAAAUGUUAGUUAUUAAUGUUAAUGUUAGCAGGCUGCUAGUGAAUUACAAUUGGAUAUUUGAACUGCUAUGUCAUGAAAACUUGUUAAUCAGGUUAUUGUAAUUAGCUUGACUGUUAGUGAUAUGCAAUGGAAAGAGUUAGGGUUAUGUUAAUUUCCAUUUGAUAGUUAGAAAAAAGUUAGGUUAGUUAUGUUGAACUGUUAGUGACAAUUAGUGAAUUAGUUUAGAAAAAUGUUAGUGGAUUUUGAAAUCAGUUAGUGAGUCAAUGUGGCAUUAGUUAAUUGUGUUGAUUGAAUUAGUAGGAGUUAGUUAUGUUAGUUGAACUGAACUGUUGGAUUUUAACUUGACAAAACUAUUAGGUUAAAACUAUUAGGAUAUCACUUGUUGAUUGAUUAGUAUCAGAAGUUAGAGGAUUUGGCCAUUAAUUGAAUGAUUAGCUAGCUGAAUUGGUUAAUGUUAAUCAUCUAAAAGAGCUACUUACAAUUAUAUGAUAAAAUUGGUGAGUAAUGUUGUGUUAGAUAUGGAUAUGAUAAGGUCAAAACUUUGAUGUAUGCCAUUGGACUUGUUUGGAUGUAUGAAUAUUGUAUGGUUGGUUAUACAUUGAUGUGUAUAUUGAUAAUGUGUAUGAGAAAUGGUGAUUGGACUGUCAUGGUGUGUUUAUUGAAUUGUAUUAUGGCAUGGCGUGUUUGAUUGUGUAUAUGGCAUGUAUGGCUAUGGAGUAUCAUUGAAUGCAACUGAUGUUUGUUUACACAUUGCAAGGUUUUGGAUUUGGUGUAGCAUGGUGAAAAAAGAGAAUUCAUGGCAUGGCAAUGAAGAUUUUGGUACAAGUUUUGAACAUGAAGAUAGCAUGGAGGUGUAUCAUGAUAGGAAAUGAAGAAAGCUUGGAGAUCAAAGUGGUAAUAGGUCUAGGGUUAAGUUUACUUUGGUCAUUUGUUUGACCAAAAAGUCAACAGUUGACCAAAAGUCAACCUUAGGUCAAAAUGUGAUUUUUUUGUAUAAUUUAUAUUUUGGCUUUUUAUAAUGAAAUUUGAUGUUGUAAUUGAAUAUUGGCCCUUUGAAUGUGAUUUGUAACUUCUCUCACAGGCUAUGCACUUCCCCUCUAAUUGAUAAAUUUUGAAAUUUGCAAUCCUUGAAUCUUAUUCUCA
rnacentral:lncRNA from 1 species